AUCUUCUAUUCUAAUGUGAAAUACCUAUUGAUUUGAAUUUCAACAUACACACAUUGUUAUCAUUGUUAUUAUCUUGUAAUGUUUAUGACAUAAUUUUCUCAAUUUGCCAUGCCAACUCAAUAAACUAUCAAAAUAAGACUAUUUAUUUUGGGUCAAGGUUGUAUGAAAUCAGGCGAGUAGCUACGUUUAUGUCAAAAUGCCCAGGCA
rnacentral:lncRNA from 1 species